UACGUAGGUGGCAAGCGUUGUCCGGAUUUAUUGGGUUUAAAGGGUGCGUAGGCGGUCCUAUAAGUCAGUUGUGAAAUACGGCAGCUUAACUGUCGAGGUGCAAUUGAUACUGCAGGACUUGAGUACAGACGAGGUAGGCGGAGUUGACGGUGUAGCGGUGAAAUGCUUAGAUAUCGUCAAGAACACCGAUAGCGAAGGCAGCUUACUAGACUGUAACUGACGCUGAUGCACGAAAGUGUGGGGAUCAAACAGG
rnacentral:rRNA from 1 species